rnacentral:rRNA from 1 species
UACAGAGGUCUCAAGCGUUGUUCGGAAUCACUGGGCGUAAAGGGUGCGUAGGUGGCGUGGAAAGUCAGAUGUGAAAGCCCGGGGCUCAACCUCGGAAUUGCAUCCGAUACUACCAUGCUAGAGUACUGAAGAGGUGACUAGAAUUCUCGGUGUAGCAGUGAAAUGCGUAGAUAUCGAGAGGAAUACCAACGGCGAAGGCAGGUCACUGGGCAGUUACUGACACUGAGGCACGAAGGCCAGGGGAGCAAAACGGG